UGGCUGCCUGUCUUUUUGCUUCAGAAUGUUCUGACUACAAGCAGAGAGUCAAUUCAAUCAAAGACUUGAUCAAGAAGUUGCCAAAACCUAACCACGACACAAUGCAAGUCCUCUUCAAACACCUGCGGAGGGUGAUCGACCACGGUGAAGCCAACCGCAUGACCACCCAGAGCGUGGCCAUCGUUUUCGGCCCUACGCUCCUCCGGCCCGAAACGGAGACGGGCAACAUAGCGGUCCACAUGGUCUACCAGAACCAGAUAGUAGAGCUCAUACUGCUGGAGUUCGAAAGCAUCUUUGGCAGGUAGACGCAAAGGGGCUCCAGACUUUUUGCCUCUUCUUUUUUUUUUUUUCUUCUGUUUUUGUUUUUGAUUGAACUCAGUGUUGCCGCGGACCUGGCAGCUGUGAAGGCCAACUCCUCAUUGACACGACCGUUUACACAUGCAUGACAAGGCAUUGCACUUACCAGUUCUGGAGAUGAAUUUCAAGGGGCAACGGGCCCCCUCCACCUUUCCGGCUGCCGUUCCUUUGCAAACGGGCGGCAACCUUACAGUUGACCUCUCGUGAUUUGGUGAAUUUGAGUCUUUCGGGGUUGGGUUUUUUUUUUUUGUUUUAUUUUUUUUUAGGUGCCGCAGUCACUGAAUCCUAUAAAACCUCCUUGUGUUGGGGAGCGUUCAGGGAUGCUGCUCCGGUGGCGUUAAAGGCAGACGCAAACCUCAUGAUGUUGCCUGAAAUGUGUUGGUCUUCUGUGUUGUGGCGCUUCGUCUGUGACGCCAGUUAUGCCAUAAUCAGUGUUGUGUUAAUGGGCUGAUGUUUUCUUUUGUUGUUGUUGUUGUUAUUGUUGUUUCUGUUUUUAUUUUAUCUUAAUUUUUUUUUUUGUUGCACUUGGAUGAACUGGAGCAGUGUUUCACAUUGUGCCCCCAUUUCCCCCACCCGGUACCACUCACCCUUUAAGUGUUAACCCGAUGGAGGGAUAAAACAGUGUUUGUUGUUGGGAGUGAAUUAAAACCUGCACAGAAGCAUC